AUUGAACGCUGGCGGCAGGCCUAACACAUGCAAGUCGAGCGAGCGGCGGACGGGUGAGUAAUGUCUGGGAAACUGCCUGAUGGAGGGGGAUAACUACUGGAAACGGUAGCUAAUACCGCAUACCAUCAGAUGUGCCCAGAUGGGAUUAGCUAGUAGGUGGGGUAAUGGCUCACCUAGGCGAAGAUCCCUAGCUGGUCUGAGAGGAUGACCAGCAACACGGGAACUGAGACACGGGCCAGACGCCUACGGGAGGGAGGAGUGGGGAAGAUUGCACAAUGGGCGCAAGCCUGAAGCAGCCAGGCCGCGUGUGUGAAGAAGGCCUUCGGGUUGGAAAGCACUUUCAGCGGGGAGGCGUGACCCGCAGAAGAAGCACCGGCUAACUCCAUGCCAGCAGCCGCGGUAAUUC
rnacentral:rRNA from 1 species